rnacentral:rRNA from 1 species
AUUGAACGCUGGCGGCAGGCCUAACACAUGAAAGUCGAGCGGAGCGGCGGACGGGUGAGUAAUGCCUAGGAAUCUGCCUGGUCGUGGGGGAUAACGUCCGGAAAAGGGCUAUAAUACCGCAUACUAGCAGAUGAGCAUAGGUCGGAUUAGCUAGUUGGUGGGGUAAAGGCCUACAAAGGCGACGAUCCGUAACUGGUCUGAGAGGCUGAUUAGUCACACUGGAACUGAGACACGGUACAGACUCCUACGGGAGGCAGCAGUGGGGAAUAUUGGACAAUGGGCGAAAGCCUGAUCCAGCCAUGCCGCGUGUGUGAAGAAGGUCUUCGGAUUGUAAAGCACUUUAAGUUGGGAGGCGUUACCCACAGAAUAAGCACCGGCUAACUUCGUGCCAGCAGCCGCGGUAAUAC